rnacentral:rRNA from 1 species
CAGCCGCCGCGGGAAUACGAAGGGUGCAAGCGUUAAUCGGAAUUACUGGGCGUAAAGCGUGCGUAGGCGGUGAGUUAAGUCUGCUGUGAAAUCCCCGGGCUCAACCUGGGAAUGGCAGUGGAUACUGGCUCGCUAGAGUGUGUCAGAGGAUGGUGGAAUUCCCGGUGUAGCGGUGAAAUGCGUAGAGAUCGGGAGGAACAUCAGUGGCGAAGGCGGCCAUCUGGGACAACACUGACGCUGAGGCACGAAAGCGUGGGGAGCAAACAAGAUUAGAUACCCGAGUAGUCCCUGUCUCUUAUAC